UACAGAGGUCUCAAGCGUUGUUCGGAUUCAUUGGGCGUAAAGAGCGCGUAGGCGGCUGGAAUAGUCCGGUGUGAAAUCCACAGGCUUAACCUGUGAAUGCCGCUGGAAACUGUCUGGCUAGAGUCCGGAAGGGGCGAGUGGAAUUCCUGGUGUAGCGGUGAAAUGCGCAGAUAUCAGGAGGAACACCAAUGGCGAAGGCAGCUCGCUGGGACGGUACUGACGCUGAGGCGCGAAAGCGUGGGGAGCGAACAGG
rnacentral:rRNA from 1 species